GCAUUGGUCGAUGCCCCGGUAGCUCAGAGGUAGAGCUGCUGCAUAUAGUGAGCUAAAGCACCUAGCAACAACUAGCAGGUGGUCGCAGGUUCGAAUCCUGCCCGGUGGCUA
rnacentral:tRNA from 1 species